UCAAAAAAGAGGUUAUGGUAAUUGAAAUAUGGGGGAGAACAUGGGUGUAUUUUAAACAUGAAGAGAUAGGAAAGAUACUCUUUUAGGGUAAUUCAUUAAAAAAUAGCAAGAGUUAGAAAGUGACAGUCAAAGGAAAGAUCAAAGAGAUACCUGUAGUGUGAACAUGAAUGGUGGCAGGAUGAAGUAAAAUGCUUUGAAUUAUGAAUGGUUUGAAUGGGUUAUGGAUUCUAGUUUAGAUGGGUCAAGCAUGAGCUGACCCUUCAGAAAGUAUCAGGGAGACAGGCAGAGAAUUUGAACAGAAGUAAAACUCUGAAAGAAGUACUGUGGGUCAUCAUUAAAGAUAACAGUGGCUUAUUUUGCAUUUCAGAUUAGAUCGCUUAUGGAAAUGGAGAAGAAAAAUAAAACAGGACAAAGUUCAGGGGGUUCUGGAACUUCCUGAAAAAGCUGGAGUUAGGAUAGCAAGGUUGUCCUCUGCAGGAACGAUUAAAAACGACUAGAAAUGAAAAGCCAUUUCUUUCCACCGUUGCCAUUCCUAAUGAUUCUUAUAAGAGUUCACGUUAGCGUUCGUACUGAUGAUUCAAGCAGUAUUGCCAGCCACAAUCACCUAUUUUUCAUAAUUCCCUGUAUACAGAAACAAAAUGCUUUUGGAGUCUUGGUGCAGAAGAGUUGAGAUUUUUCACAUUAUCCUUCACUUAAAAACAAUUAAAAUCAGCGAAAGAAGGGAGCUGAGCUAGGAUGGAUGCAUAGAUGGGAUAGGGAGCCUGCUGCCCUACACUGCUUCUACUGGUUUUAGAAAUCUAUCUUUAAUUAGUACAUUUCAUCAGAGCUUGCUCCUUCUGCUAGCAAUACUUACUGUCAUUGUAACCCCUUACUGUCUCCUGAUGUUUGCACUAUGUGCUAUUCUCUACAUACAUAGUUGCCCUUCUUUUCUUAGGUUUCUCUUGGGAACUCAGGACUUCCAUGCAUCAAGGGGAAAAAAAUUGUCUAACAAUUCUUUGCUUCACAAUGGCACAACUUUAACAGGAACGGAGCAGAGUCGUCUAUGUUUUCAAACGCCCUGCCUCUUGCUGGGAAGAGAAUCUUUGGACUGAUUGGACUCCUUCCUUCUGCCAUUGUUACCCGUUCUCCUCCGAGAUGAUCAAAAGGGGCUGGUUAGCCUAGUGUGGCAGCAUUCUGCAUGGAUUGAAUCCCUGCACUUUGGAGACACUUCAAGGCAUGGAGUUCAGGUGAGUUACCUGGAUUACAGAAGAGCCACUGGGUGACCAUAACUUCUAGUUGCGCUUGGCCAGAGUUGGAUCCCCACCAAAUGUUUUUAGAAAAGUCUGCUUCCCUGAGCUGCCUACGCAAAGUGCACUGUUCGUUAGGCUCAUUAGCAGUCUCAGACGUCGGAAGUGUUCCUUUGCUCCUUCCUCCCCACACGUGCUGCCUUUUUAUCGGCGUUGGCACGUGCUGCACAGUGUGGGGAAAAGCAGCUGUCUGAGAUAACUGGCAGUAUAAUGCAUGGGAAUUAAC
rnacentral:lncRNA from 1 species